CUUUGGCCAUGUUCUGUUAUAAUCUCCACCCGACACAGCCAGAGAGGACUGGCCACCCCUCAUAGCCUGGUUCCUCUCUAGGUUUCUUCCUAGGUUUUGGCCUUUCUAGGGAGUUUUUCCUAGCCAACGUGCUUCAACACCUGCAUUGCUUGCUGUUUGGGGUUUUAGGCUGGGUUUCUGUACAGCACUUUGAGAUAUCAGCUGAUGUUCGAAGGGCUAUAUAAAUAAUUUUGAUUUGAUUUGAUUUAUUCUCCUACAUUAUUGUAUCAUUUCUACAAACUUCAAAGUGUUUUCUUUCCAAUAGUUCCAAGUAUAUGCAUAUCCUGGGUUCAGGGCCUGAGCAACAGACAGUUUACUUUGGGCACCUCAUUCAUGCGGAAAAUGAGAAAAAGGGGCCUAGCCCUAAUAAGUUUUGAAAAGGCUAAUUUCAACAUGGAGGUGACGAUCACCAUGCUGGAAGGAUGAAUUUCGACUAGACCAGACAGAAAACAGCAGGAGCUGAGUAUGGCAACUUGGUAUGAACUUUGAACUAUAUUUCGCUGAAGAAGUGAUACAUCCUAGAAGUUGAGUUGCUGCAGCUGUAAACGUACGUGGCCUAGGAAAGGACAGACAAUCUCUGAAGAACGACAGGCUACUUAAACGUAUCCACUCUACAACACUACAACCAGAUUGAUUCUACAAAAGACAAUGGCGAUCUCUGCUGGGUAAACCAGUCUUUCAUCUUCAACCCAUCUAUUGAAUCCCAGCUCAGAGAAGUACAAGUGACAGCUUGUUAGCAGCAUGUUGAGAUGUACCUGCCAGCAGACAAGCUUGGUUUACACAUCGGGGUGGAGCUAUUCUACCUAUUCAAAGACCUGCGGUCACAACUGCUUACAGUCGACGUAACCCCAUGGGUCUGAUGGUUGCACUUGAUGACAACAACAGAGCAGCAGGAGAGCUAUUCUGGUAUGACGGAGUCUCUGGAGGUAUUUCAACAAUGUCAGGGCAUGUUGACCAUCCAGGUGAUGUAUUCUGGGUACAGUGACCCUAGCAACCUAAAUUUUGAGAACAUCUCCGUGAUUGGAGUCUCCAGUCCACCCGUGACUGUCAGUCACACACGGCAACAAAGUCAUUGUACAUCCUUUCAACUAUGACAACAAGCAGAAAUCCUACCCGGGUCGACCACCAGAGGGAGACUGCAACGGCGAUUCCCCAACACGGACAUCCCCUGGCAAUUCCUGUGAUGCUUUGGAGCUUCCAAAAAACCUACCAAGGUAGACCACCAGACGGGGGGACUGCAACAGCGAACACCAACUGGACAUCUGCUGCCCAGCCUUGGAGUGGCCUUCUUCAUUCGCAUAAACCUUACCCGGGUCAACCACCAGAGGGGAAACACAACGAUGGUCCAAAACUAGGACAACCAACGGUAAUUGUUCUGUUGGUUAGCAAAUGGAAGAAUAAUCACAAGAUUGAACCCAACAAGCAGUGACUGUCAUGACAUUGCCCUGUUGGGUUGGGUUUAUGACCCCCAUUAAUACAUUUGACCCUUUUCUAUCCACUCACAGAAUGGACUCUUGGAAAGCCCUUUGAUUAACAUAGAGAGAGUAGGGUAACAUCAAAAGGUUGGGGGAAGAGUAUAAUAUUUCUGUAAUAGAAACCAGUCUAAAGUGUCCGUUGAUACUUAAAGAAUAUGAUGUCAGAUCAGUUGUCGUCUGAGACAUUAUUACUGAUGAUAGGAUGACAUAAAUUGUAUCUUGGAAAGUCUACACAUUCUAGUUAUCAGAUUCACGUGGAAUUGUUGUGCAAUUUAAAUAUUUAAAUAUGAAACUAUUUGUGAAAGGAUUAAAUGUAAUUUUAGCUUCCAAAUAAGAUAAACUAUGCUCACUCAGUGGCCACUCCCAAGUGAACAGAUAUUGGUUGAGAACUAUGAAAAAUGCCCUUCUCUCCCCCAAUACAACGGAAGUCAACCUCAGUUCCCGAUGAUGUGAGGACUGGUGUCCAUAUGUUUAAAAGGGCUAAUUUCAACAUGGAGGUGAAUAUCACCACACUGUAAGGAUUAAUUUAUACUAGACCAGCUAGAAUUCAGUGCGAGCUGAUUAUGGCAAAAUGGUAUGAUCUUUGAACUCUCAUUCACUAAAGAAGAAGUGAUGCAUCGUAAAAGUCGAGUUAUCAGCUGCAGCUGUAAACGUACGUGGCCUGGGAAAGGACAGACAAUCUCCUAAUCAGAAAGACAGGGUACAACAUUUCCACCUUACAACACUACGAACAGACAUAUUUUACAAAGGACAAGGGCGAUCUCUGCUGGGCAAACCAUUCCUCCAUCUUCGACCCCUCUAUCGAAGUACAGCUCAGUGUAAAGAUAUAUCAUGCAUUUUCCUUUUCCGAAUGGGAGGUUAUUAGAAUGCAUAAGAUUCUGUAUUUACGUUAGCAUAGCUUUUCAAGGUCCGAUGGAGACCCAAUCUCCUUUGUACCUCAGUGUCCUGCUUUUUCAAUCAAACCCAACGCCCUUUCUUUGUGUAACCAGCCGUCAUAUAGGUUUCAUCUGCUAGGGACUUUUUCUUUUA
ensembl:lncRNA